rnacentral:rRNA from 1 species
AUUGAACGCUGGCGGCAUGCUUUACACAUGCAAGUCGAACGGUAACAGGUUAAGCUGACGAGUGGCGAACGGGUGAGUAAUGCAUCGGAACGUGCCCGGUCGUGGGGGAUAACGCAGCGAAAGCUGCGCUAAUACCGCAUACGAUCUGAGGAUGAAAGCGGCGGACCGUAAGGCCUCGCGCGAUCGGAGCGGCCGAUGUCAGAUUAGGUAGUUGGUGGGGUAAAGGCUCACCAAGCCGACGAUCUGUAGCUGGUCUGAGAGGACGACCAGCCACACUGGGACUGAGACACGGCCCAGACUCCUACGGGAGGCAGCAGUGGGGAAUUUUGGACAAUGGGCGCAAGCCUGAUCCAGCAAUGCCGCGUGCAGGAAGAAGGCCUUCGGGUUGUAAACUGCUUUUGUACGAAGCGAAAAGGCUCUCUCUAAUACAGGGGGCUCAUGACGGUACCGUAAGAAUAAGCACCGGCUAACUACGUGCCAGCCGCCGCGGUAA